CAGAGAAAAUCUUACUGUCCCACUUGAGUGACUUUGUUUAAAAAAAGAAAUCUGCUGAAGGUUUUUAAGUGGCACGCCAUCAUUUAUUUACAGAGAAAGGUAUCACUUUAACAAAAUCAGGAGUCCUUCGGGGGCAGAUUAUUCUGUAAUACCACUUUCAUUAUCAGAGAACUCUCGAUACAAAGUGUUCUACAAAACUACAAGAAGAAUCAGGCUAGCCUUUUAAGGACAUCAUCAAAAAUCAGGCCUACCCAAUAAAGGCAGAGGCAGAGCUCUAUAAAAUUUGGUGAAUCCAGGACCACUUAAACAAGUCAGACAUAUAGAUGAUGGAAGACAUGGGACGUGAAUUUCUUUUGCUGGCUUUCUCAUUCCUCCUAUUCUAUCACUUAAAGCAUUUACCUGCCAGCCCCCAACAUCCCAGAUCUCUCCCCACUACCCUUGGAGAGCUCAUUUCUUCUCCUGGCUCCAAAUCUUGCCCCUGUAGACACCUAUCCCUUAUCUCUGUCUGCCACUUAGAUAUAGCACCAUCACCUUCAACUUAGUAGGUUGAGAAUUGAAGCUCUCUCCCAGGAGAGCACCAGUUCCACGUCACCAACUGGGUGUUAGUGAUGCUGCUAAGUUUUCUAGUCACUCAGGUUUGUGACCUUGGACUUGCUGCCUCCUUUUUGGUCCCUCUGACAUGUCUCCUCUUUCCUCCUUCCCUGCCCACUCCUCCAUCCCAUUCUUUACAUCACUCCUAGGCAAACCUUUCUUUGACCUGACACUGCUUUCACUACAUUCUUUCUUUCCCUGCUCAAACUUUCCCAUACCCAACUGGCUCCUCCAUGUAGUUGUCAAGGGAAGGGGAAAAGGGUGGCUGGGGAACAGGGGUGGGAGACUAGCUUUUUACUGUUAAGUUUUGAACCAUGUGCAUGUAUAAUUUUUUUAAAGAAUUAUGCAACAAAUAACUUCUUUAAAAGUCUUCAGCCCCAGUACGGUCGCUCAGGCCUGUAAUCCCAGCACUUUGGGCGGCUGAGGCAGGAGGAUCGCUUGAGGCCAGGAGUUUGAGACCAGGCCAGCCUGGGCAACAUAGCAAGACUCCAUCUCUACAAAAAAAAACAAACAAAAAAAAUGUUAAAGAGCCAGGCGUGGUGGCACAUGCCUAUAGUCCUAGCUAUUCGGGAAGUGAGCCAGGAUGGCUUCAGCCCAGGAGUUAAGACUGCGGCAGGGUAUGCACCACUGCACCCAGCCUGGGUAACACAGUGAGACCCCCAUCUCCUAAAACAAAAUUAAAAAAAAAAAAAAUUAAGGCCAGGCAUGGUGGCUAACACCCGUAAUCCCAGCAUUUUGGGAGGUUGAGAUGGGUGGAUCACUUGAGGCCAGCAGUUUGAGAUCAGCCUGGGCAACAUGGUUAAAAGCCCGUUUCUACUAAAAAUACAAAAAUUAGCCGGGCGUCAUAGCAUACACCUGUAAUCCCAGCUACUUGGGAGGCUGAGGCAGAAGAACUGCUUGAACCUGGGAGGCGGAGGUUGCAGUGGGCCAAGAUGGCUCCACUGUACUCCAGCCUGGGAAACAAAGUGAUACUCCAUCGCAAAAAAAAAAAAAAAAAAAAAAAAAAAAUUAAAAAUCUACAGAGGAGGAAAACAAACAAAAAUAGCAAAAAUGGGACAUCAAUCCAGACAUGAAGGAAAAAAACAUUUUUUAAAUAUUCAUCAUUGUGGCAAAAAAAACCUGCCCUUAAAAAACCAGAAACCUAAGGUUUAAAGAGAUGAGUGACCCCUCAAUUGUUCCUCUGAGAAUAGACUGUGUCUUUCACCUGCUUUUUAAGUCCUCUUCCCAAGGUCUGGCCCGAUGUUUGGUCUCAAUGGUUGUGUAAUGUCUCUGAAUGGAUGAAAUUUACUUCCCUACGGAAAAGUAAAGCAUUCUCCAAAUGCAAGCAGUUGUGAAACAGUGAUAAAGGUCGAGGGGGAAGCAGCAUGGCUGAGAGCUGCUUUUGCCUAAUGUAUUCAUUCACCUGCAUGAACCAAGCACCCACGUGCAUGGAUGUGUACUAUAUACAGACUGUGAGAUGUGGACCUGCCUCACAGUGUACCAGGAGAGAUGAGAGCAUACACAAAGAAUCACUGGGUAGAAAAUCUACAUGAGUUUUAAAAUAGGGAAUUUCUGAAGCAGCUUACUACUAACAGCUAAAAACCACUGGCUUGACCACAUAUACAAAGGCUGCAAUCUCAGAGGGAUAUUUCAUGUAUUUAGUAAAACCUGGGGAAACGAGGAAGGCAGGGAAGUUGAUAAGGACUUGUAGGCACACUUUGGCCCCAGGGAGGCAGGUGGAUGCUGGUGGAGAGCAUCACCUAAAUUAGCUGCCUCCUUUCUUGGCAAUCCUGUUAUCUACACCAUAUGAAUCCAGUCUUUAGCUGGAUAUAACCAUUCGUUCACUCAUUCAUUCAACAAGUAUUUACUGAACAGCCUAGUCUGUGCAGGCCUAUGUUAACUGUCUCCAGCACACUCAAUCCAUGACAUUAAAGUUACAGUUUUGGUCUUUGUGUAUCAGCAAUGACAGGUCCUCACUCUUACCACAAAGCGCAAGUCAGCUUGGCCUCUCAAGUGGAGAGAUAAUCGUUCUAUAGCAAGAAGUACAAAGAUUCUCUGCAGACAAAACCAGCUAGCCAAGGUUCCACAACAUGUGUACACGUAUAAGUCUGAUGGAUCAGAAGAAAUAUGUACCCGGGAAUCAGAUGUAGCCAGCCCACAUACUAACAAACAUCAAAGCAAGCCUAGUCAGAUUGAGUCCCAUUUGAACAAUCUUUAUAAAGGUUUCUUCAUGUUAUUUACAAUUCAAAGUAAAUUUACUUUAUAAGCAGCUAGG
rnacentral:lncRNA from 10 species